rnacentral:rRNA from 1 species
GACGAACGCUGGCGGCGUGCUUAACACAUGCAAGUCGAACGGAAAGGCCCUGCUUUUGUGGGGUGCUCGAGUGGCGAAAGGGUGAGUAACACGUGAGUAACCUGCCCUUGACUUUGGGAUAACUUCAGGAAACUGGGGCUAAUACCGGAUAGGAGCUCCUGCUGCAUGGUGGGGGUUGGAAAGUUUCGGCGGUUGGGGAUGGACUCGCGGCUUAUCAGCUUGUUGGUGGGGUAGUGGCUUACCAAGGCUUUGACGGGUAGCCGGCCUGAGAGGGUGACCGGCCACAUUGGGACUGAGAUACGGCCCAGACUCAUACGGGAGGCAGCAGUGGGGAAUAUUGCACAAUGGGCGGAAGCCUGAUGCAGCAACGCCGCGUGCGGGAUGACGGCCUUCGGGUUGUAAACCGCUUUCGCCUGUGACGAAGCGUGAGUGACGGUAAUGGGUAAAGAAGCACCGGCUAACUACGUG